GGGUAAGUAGGUUGGUCGUGCCACCGGUACGUACUGGUCUCACUGAUUCCUCCUUCCUGAAGAACCGUAAUGCCAUUAAUUUGGUGUUGCGGGGAAACAGGACUGUUACUUUGAAAAAAUUUGAGUGUUUAAAGCAAGCUAACGCUUUAAUACAUUAGCAUGGAAUAAUGAAAUAGGACGAUCGAUCCUAUUUUGUUGGUUUCUAGGAUUGACGUA
rnacentral:rRNA from 1 species